rnacentral:rRNA from 1 species
AGAGUUUGAUUCUGGCUCAGAACGAACGCUGGCGGCAGGCUUAACACAUGCAAGUCGAACGAUAUAGUGGCAGACGGGUGAGUAACGCGUGGAAACGUGCCUUUCACUACGGAAUAGCUUUUGGAAACGAAAGGUAAUACCGUAUACGCCCUCCGGGGGAAAGAUUUAUCGGUGAAAGAUCGGUCCGCGUUAGAUUAGCUAGUUGGUGAGGUAAGAGCUCACCAAGGCGACGAUCUAUAGCUGGUCUGAGAGGAUGAUCAGCCACACUGGGACUGAGACACGGCCCAGACUCCUACGGGAGGCAGCAGUGGGGAAUAUUGCACAAUGGGCGCAAGCCUGAUGCAGCCAUGCCGCGUGAAUGAUGAAGGCCUUAGGGUUGUAAAAUUCUUUCGCCAAGGAUGAUAAUGACAGUACUUGGUAAAGAAGCCCCGGCUAACUUCGUGCCAGCAGCCGCGGUAAUACGAAGGGGGCUAGCGUUGUUCGGAAUUACUGGGCGUAAAGCGCACGUAGGCGGACUUUUAAGUCAGAUGUGAAAUCCCAAGGCUCAACCUUGGAACUGCAUUUGAAACUGGGAGUCUAGAGAUCAGGAGAGGUUAGUGGAAUACCGAGUGUAGAGGUGAAAUUCGUAGAUAUUCGGUGGAACACCAGUGGCGAAGGCGACUAACUGGACUGAUACUGACGCUGAGGUGCGAAAGUGUGGGGAGCAAACAGGAUUAGAUACCCUGGUAGUCCACACCGUAAACGAUGAGAGCUAGUUGUCUGCAGGCAUGCCUGUAGGUGACGCAGCUAACGCAUUAAGCUCUCCGCCUGGGGAGUACGGCCGCAAGGUUAAAACUCAAAGAAAUUGACGGGGGCCCGCACAAGCGGUGGAGCAUGUGGUUUAAUUCGAAGCAACGCGCAGAACCUUACCUACGCUUGACAUGCCUGGACGACUCCGAGAGAUCGGUUUCUCCCUUCGGGGCCAGUGCACAGGUGCUGCAUGGCUGUCGUCAGCUCGUGUCGUGAGAUGUUGGGUUAAGUCCCGCAACGAGCGCAACCCUCAUCCUUAGCUGCCAUCACGUUUGGGUGGGCACUCUAGGGAAACUGCCGGUGCUAAGCCGGAGGAAGGCGGGGAUCACGUCAAGUCCUCAUGGCCCUUACGCGUAGGGCUACACACGUGCUACAAUGGCAGUGACAAUGGGUUAAUCCCCAAAAGCUGUCUCAGUUCGGAUUGUCGGCUGCAACUCGCCGGCAUGAAGUUGGAAUCGCUAGUAAUCGUGGAACAGCAUGCCACGGUGAAUACGUUCCCGGGCCUUGUACACACCGCCCGUCACACCAUGGGAGUUGGAUCUACCCGAAGAUUGUGAGCUAACUUCGGAGGCAGCAAGCCACGGUAGGUUCAGCGACUGGGGUGAAGUCGUAACAAGGUA